ensembl:lncRNA
CUGAAUAUCUCAGCACCAGCACAUAUCUAGUUAGCAUGGAUAAUUUGCUCUCAGAUAUUUUCUCUGUCCUGUACAUUCCUCCUGCUUUGCAAGACAAAUGAUUUUUUUUUUUUCCCUGAAAGAUAUUUCUUCCCUUUGGAUUGCAAGUCAACCAGCCUGCAACUCUGCCACCUUAAGAUAGCUUCAGAAAACUGCAGGCUCCUGCUGGCCAGACUAGCCCUGACGCCUCCUCCAUCCUCUAUCUCCAACUUCCAUCUCCAUCCUUCACCCUGCGUCCUCCUGACGAUCCCAGAGCACAGAGCAGGAGCACAACCUGCUGAUGACAACUGGUUUUCCUGCAGAACUAUCAGUGGUUUGGAUGAUGAGUUUCCUCCUGAAAGGACCUGGUCCUUUUGGUGCCAGGACCAGGUGACACCGAUGGCUCUGCAGGUGCUGGAAGAGUCGGUCCUGAAGGAUUUGCCACCUUCUGCAGGAAUAGAGCUCUAUAAGACGUGUCACCCAUCAGUGGAAACGCCAGCAACAGCCACAAGGAUGCUCAGACCAGUGUCACCCUGCUGUGACACCGAGUGACGGCACUCAAGGGUAUGAGAAAUGCCUCAAGCAGAGCCAAGCUGAUAAAGAUCACCAAUGUGAAAAUUGCAUUUCCUUCACCCAGUCCAUGCUGCGAGAAGCAACGGCAC